rnacentral:rRNA from 1 species
UACAGAGGGUGCAAGCGUUAAUCGGAAUUACUGGGCGUAAAGCGUGCGUAGACGGUUAUUUAAGUCGGGUGUGAAAGCCCCGGGCUCAACCUGGGAAUUGCAUUCGAGACUGAAUAGCUAGGGUGCGGAAGAGGGAAGCGGAAUUUCCGGUGUAGCGGUGAAAUGCGUAGAUAUCUGGAGGAACACCGGUGGCGAAGGCGGCAUCCUGGACCGGCAUUGACGCUGAGGAGCGAAAGCCAGGGGAGCAAACGGG